AGCAGCCGCGGUAAUUCCAGCUCCAAUAGCGUAUAUUAAAGUUGUUGCAGUUAAAAGCUCGUAGUUGAAUUUCGGGAUUGGCGCAUCGGUCGUGCCUCACGGGGUAUGAACUGGUGCAGUCAAUUUCUCACCUUCUGGAGAACCGCGAUGUCCUUAAUUGGAUGCCGCGGGGAACCAGGACCUUUACUUUGAAAAAUUAGAGUGUUUAAAGCAGGCAUUUUUGCUUGAAUACAUUAGCAUGGAAUAAUAAAAUAGGACGGCAUGGUUCUAUUUUGUUGGUUUCUAGGACCACCGUAAUGAUUAAUAGGGAUAGUUGGGGGCAUUAGUAUUCAAUUGUCAGAGGUGAAAUUCUUGGAUUUAUUGAAGACUAACUACUGCGAAAGCAUUUGCCAAGGAUGUUUUCAUUAAUCAAGAACGAAAGUUAGGGGAUCGAAGACGAUCAGAUACCGUCGUAGUCUUAACCAUAAACUAUGCCGACUAGGAAUCAGACGAUGUUAAUUUUUUAAUGUACUUCGUUUGG
rnacentral:misc_RNA from 1 species